rnacentral:rRNA from 1 species
AUUGAACGCUGGCGGCAGGCCUAACACAUGCAAGUCGAACGAGUGGCGGACGGGUGAGUAAUGUCUGGGAAACUGCCUGCUGGAGGGGGAUAACUACUGGAAACGGUAGCUAAUACCGCAUACCAUCAGAUGUGCCCAGAUGGGAUGAGCUUGUUGGUGGGGUGAUGGCCUACCAAGGCGGUGACGGGUAGCCGGCCUAAGAGGGUGACAGGCAAAAGUGGGACGGGAACAAGGUCCAGACUCCUGAGGGUGACAGCAGGAGGGAAUAUUGGACAAUGGGCGAAAGCGUGAUCCAGCCAUGCCGCGUGUGUGAAGAAGGACUUCAGAUUGUAAAGCACUUUAAGUUGGGAGGCGUUACCAGCAGAAUAGGCACCGGCGAACUUCGUACCAGCAGCCGCGGUAAUUC